rnacentral:lncRNA from 1 species
GACCAUAAGGAUUUCUUCAAACCCUAGUUUCAUAGCAAAUCUCCAAAUUGAAGCUUCAAAUCUGCCCUAAAUCAAGUCUUGAACAUAAAUUAGUGAUCCCCUUGUAGUAAGGAUCAUAAAGGUAAAGAAUCCGGGUCAUCUAGUGGACAAGCCGGGGGUGAUAUACGCUUAAAGGGUGCGCUUUGAAGAUGUUGAUGUUGUCGUUAGGUACUCAUGGAGCUUGCUCAGGGAGGCGCAGUCGUUGUGGAACAUGGCAGUGUGUGCCAUGCUAAAAACAUUACUUUACUUCGUACUUAAUACUUACAUUGGGUUUUGAAAUUAUGCU